rnacentral:lncRNA from 1 species
GUAACUCUAAUAGGAGACUGAAUGAAUGGACUUUGUGGGAAAAACAGUAGUAAACUUUAAAGCCACUGAAAGCUACAUGCACUGACAGAUUUUCCGUUGGUGGUGGCUGGGUGGUGGCGAGGCGUGUUUCCGGGCGCGCUUAAAACCUAGGGGGCGCGGGUACUCACACGAAAGCGUGGUAGAUGAACGCCCAGCCGCGGGGUCUCUCCAGCACGUUGUACAGGUAGUUCUGCACCCGCCGGUACUUGACGUUGCGCCGGCAGCUCUGGCUACUCGUGUAAGAGAGCGGCUUCCCCAGCAGGCUCAUCCGGGCCCCCUGCUUGCCCCGGCGGCGAGGCAAGGACCAGGCAUCUUCCCGCGCCUCACUCCAGCCUGCGGACUGUGACUUUCCAUCCCAGUAUCAGACAAGCUCGCGAGUAACUGAACAUCCUUUCCAGUCCAUGGGUGGGGUGUGGAAAGGGCGUAAAACUCCAAAGUGGCUCCUCCGCGGUGAGCGAGC